AAGAUGGUGGAUGCAAUUGCAUGACGGUAAAUUUGUAGCUUGCAGUCACGAUAAGAGGGGAAUAACCCGGAGAAAUUCGGACUAAUACCGCAUAAUACUAAUAAACUGCAUGGUUUUUUAGUUAAACAUUUAUGGCUUACAGAUGGGCAUGCGUAUGAUUAGCUAGUUGGUGAGGUAACGGCUCACCAAGGCAACGAUCAUUAGGGGUUCUGAGAGGAAGGUCCCCCACACUGGUACUGAGACACGGACCAGACUCCUACGGGAGGCAGCAGUGAGGAAUAUUGGUCAAUGGGCGAGAGCCUGAACCAGCCAAGUCGCGUGAAGGAUGACUGCCCUAUGGGUUGUAAACUUCUUUUGUAAGGGAAUAAAAAAAGGUACGUGUACUUUAUUGUAUGUACUUUACGAAUAAGGAUCGGCUAACUCCGUGCCAGCAGCCGCGGUAAUACGGAGGAUCCAAGCGUUAUCCGGAUUUAUUGGGUUUAAAGGGUGCGUAGGCGGGCCCUUAAGUCAGUGGUGAAAGUUUGCAGCUCAACUGUAAAAUUGCCAUUGAAACUGAGGGUCUUGAGUGUAAAUGAGGUAGGCGGAAUGUGUUGUGUAGCGGUGAAAUGCUUAGAUAUAACACAGAACACCAAUUGCGAAGGCAGCUUACUGGGAUACAACUGACGCUGAGGCACGAAAGCGUGGGGAUCAAACAGGAUUAGAUACCCUGGUAGUCCACGCAGUAAACGAUGAAUACUAACUGUAUGCGAUAUAGUGUAUGCGGUACAGCGAAAGCGUUAAGUAUUCCACCUGGGGAGUACGUUCGCAAGAAUGAAACUCAAAGGAAUUGACGGGGGCCCGCACAAGCGGAGGAACAUGUGGUUUAAUUCGAUGAUACGCGAGGAACCUUACCCGGGCUUGAAAUGCAGAAGACCGACGGUGAAAGCCGUUUUCCAGCAAUGGCUUCUGUGUAGGUGCUGCAUGGUUGUCGUCAGCUCGUGCCGUGAGGUGUCGGCUUAAGUGCCAUAACGAGCGCAACCCUUAUCAUUAGUUACUAACAGGUUAUGCUGAGGACUCUAAUGAGACUGCCACCGUAAGGUGUGAGGAAGGUGGGGAUGACGUCAAAUCAGCACGGCCCUUACGUCCGGGGCGACACACGUGUUACAAUGGGGGGUACAGAGGGUCGCUACCU
rnacentral:rRNA from 1 species